CCUACGGGGCGCAGCAGUGGGGGAUAUUGCACAAUGGGGGAAACCCUGAUGCAGCGACGCCGCGUGGGCGAAGAAGUAUUUCGGUAUGUAAAGCCCUAUCAGCAGGGAAGAAAAUGACGGUACCUGAAGAAGAAGCCCCGGCUAACUACGUGCCAGCAGCCGCGGUAAUACGUAGGGGGCAAGCGUUAUCCGGAUUUACUGGGUGUAAAGGGGGCGCAGACGGCGAUGCAAGCCAGGAGUGAAAGCCCGGGGCCCAACCCCGGGACUGCUCUUGGAACUGCGUGGCUGGAGUGCAGGAGGGGCAG
rnacentral:rRNA from 1 species